UGGGGAAUUUUGCACAAUGGGGUAAACCCUGAUGCAGCGACGCCGCGUGAGCGAAGAAGGCUUUCGAGUCGUAAAGCUCUGUCCUAUGAGAAGAUAAUGACGGUAUCAUAGGAGGAAGCCCUGGCUAAAUACGUGCCAGCAGCCGCGGUAAUACGUAUGGGGCGAGCGUUGUCCGGAAUUAUUGGGCGUAAAGGGUACGUAGGCGGUUUUUUAAGUCAGGUGUCAAAGCGUGGAGCUUAACUCCAUUAAGCACUUGAAACUGAAAGACUUGAGUGAAGGAGAGGAAAGUGGAAUUCCGAGUGGAGCGGUGAAAAGCGUAGAUAUUAGGAGGAAUACCGGUGGCGAAGGCGACAUUCUGGACUAUGACUGACGCUCAGGUACGAAAGAGUGGGGAGCAAACAGG
rnacentral:rRNA from 1 species